rnacentral:rRNA from 1 species
UACGGGAGGCAGCAGUAGGGAAUUUUCGGCAAUGGGGGAAACCCUGACCGAGCAACGCCGCGUGAAGGAAGAAGUAAUUCGUUAUGUAAACUUCUGUCAUAGAGGAAGAACGGUGGAUAUAGGGAAUGAUAUCCAAGUGACGGUACUCUAUAAGAAAGCCACGGCUAACUACGUGCCAGCAGCCGCGGUAAUACGUAGGUGGCGAGCGUUAUCCGGAAUUAUUGGGCGUAAAGAGGGAGCAGGCGGCACUAAGGGUCUGUGGUGAAAGAUCGAAGCUUAACUUCGGUAAGCCAUGGAAACCGUAGAGCUAGAGUGUGUGAGAGGAUCGUGGAAUUCCAUGUGUAGCGGUGAAAUGCGUAGAUAUAUGGAGGAACACCAGUGGCGAAGGCGACGAUCUGGCGCAUAACUGACGCUCAGUCCCGAAAGCGUGGGGAGCAAAUAGGAUUAGAUACCCUAGUAGUCCACGCCGUAAACGA